ACAUGCAAGUCGAGCGGACAGAUGGGAGCUUGCUCCCUGAUGUUAGCGGCGGACGGGUGAGUAACACGUGGGUAACCUGCCUGUAAGACUGGGAUAACUCCGGGAAACCGGGGCUAAUACCGGAUGGUUGUUUGAACCGCAUGGUUCAGACAUAAAAGGUGGCUUCGGCUACCACUUACAGAUGGACCCGCGGCGCAUUAGCUAGUUGGUGAGGUAACGGCUCACCAAGGCGACGAUGCGUAGCCGACCUGAGAGGGUGAUCGGCCACACUGGGACUGAGACACGGCCCAGACUCCUACGGGAGGCAGCAGUAGGGAAUCUUCCGCAAUGGACGAAAGUCUGACGGAGCAACGCCGCGUGAGUGAUGAAGGUUUUCGGAUCGUAAAGCUCUGUUGUUAGGGAAGAACAAGUGCCGUUCAAAUAGGGCGGCACCUUGACGGUACCUAACCAGAAAGCCACGGCUAACUACGUGCCAGCAGCCGCGG
rnacentral:rRNA from 1 species